AGUGGGAUAGCUGGGUCAUAUGGUGAUUCCACACCUAGUUUUUUGAGGAACCUCCAUACUGCUUCCCAGAAUGGUUUUACUAAUUUGCAGUCCAAACAACAAU
rnacentral:pre_miRNA from 1 species